ACGAACGCUGGCGGCAUGGAUUAGGCAUGCAAGUCGAACGGGAUCUGAAAUAUCCAAGUAGCAAUAUGAGGUUAUUUCAGUGAGAGUGGCGAAAGGGUGAGGAACACGUGAGUUACCUGCCCCUAAGUUUGGAAUAACCUUCCGAAAGGAGGGCUAAUGCCGAAUGUGGAUUACCCGUAAGGGGGACAUCUAAAGGUUUACUGCUUAGGGAUGGGCUCGCGUCCUAUCAGCUUGUUGGUGAGGUAAUGGCUUACCAAGGCAAUGACGGGUAGCUGGUCUGAGAGGAUGGUCAGCCACACUGGGACUGAGACACUGCCCAGACUCCUGCGGGAGGCUGCAGUCGAGAAUCUUCCGCAAUGGGCGCAAGCCUGACGGAGCAAUGCCGCGUGAAGGAUGAAGGUCUUCGGAUUGUAAACUUCUGUCACUGGGGACGAAUAAAUGACGGUACCCGGAGAGGAAGUCACGGCUAACUACGU
rnacentral:rRNA from 1 species